AAAAUGACUCUCGACAACAGAUAUCUCGGCUCUAGCAUCGAUGAAGAACGUAGCGAAAUGCGAUACUUGGUGUGAAUUACAGAAUCCCCGUGAACCAUCGAGUUUUUGAACGCAAGUUACGCCCAAAGCCAUUAGGCCAAGGGCACGUCUGCCUGAGCGUCACGCAUCACGUCGCCCC
rnacentral:rRNA from 1 species